rnacentral:rRNA from 1 species
AGUCAAUAGAUACCCAGGUAGUCCACGCCGUAAACGAUGAAUACUAGGUGCAGGGGUUGUCAUGACCUCUGUGCCGCCGCAAACGCAUUAAGUAUUCCGCCUGGGGAGUACGGUCGCAAGAUUAAAACUCAAAGGAAUUGACGGGGGCCCGCACAAGCAGCGGAGCAUGUGGUUUAAUUCGAAACAACGCGAAGAACCUUACCUAGACUUGACAUCUCCUGAAUUACUCUGUAAUGGAGGAAGCCCUUCGGGGCAGGAAGACAGGUGGUGCAUGGUUGUCGUCAGCUCGUGUCGUGAGAUGUUGGGUUAAGUCCCGCAACGAGCGCAACCCUUAUUGUUAGUUGCUACCAUUAAGUUGAGCACUCUAGCGAGACUGCCCGGGUUAACCGGGAGGAAGGUGGGGAUGACGUCAAAUCAUCAUGCCCCUUAUGUCUAGGGCUACACACGUGCUACAAUGGCUGGUACAGAGAGAUGCUAAACCGUGAGGUGGAGCCAAACUUU